rnacentral:lncRNA from 1 species
GGGGCUAUAAAGCAAACAGUUGCAAAGAUGAUGGCUUUCCCACUUGCAAGAAGGAUUAAUUAUAGUAAUAUUGAAUUUAGAUAUAUUGCUUCCAGGGAAGUCUCCCUAUAUCACCAUAUCCACCGUCAAUGGUUGCUGAUCCAAAUCACUAUAAGCUAUCCAUUCCUUGUAAGUCUUAUGAAAAUUCAAUGAUAUUAUUUGAGGGAUUAUUACUUUUGAUAACUGUCAAUGGAUAUAUCAUUCUAAAGGGUACCUAGUGUCCUUUAAGUCAUUAUUAACAUGGUCUUUCCAAUGAUGAAAGGCACCAACAUAAAAGGGAAGUUGUUUUUUGCUCCCACAAUAUGAAAGAGCACUAGUUGGUGAGAAAAGGUAUAUUGGGAGAAUGCCAAUUCUAUCUAAUGUAUAGUAGGGAUGUAUACAAUAAUAAGUGAGAUGAAAAGUUUCAUUGGAUUCUUAGAGAAGAAUCUUUCACUUGGAAAAAGCUCUAUGAUACAUUUUUGAUUUUUUGCUAAGUACUUACUUCUAAUUAUUUUAUCAAGAAGCAAAGUCUAGAUUUAAUUUCCACAUGAUCACUGAUGUAAAACAUUCUAAAGUAUCUGUUCUUUAUUGGAUUAAUUAAAUGAUUUGAGUUCAACCACUUACGCUAUAUAAUCAGAGUGCUAUAAAAUCAUUAUGCCUUAAUCCAUAAUGAAAAACCCACUAAAACAAUGAAGAUUGAUCACGUGCAGUACUACACCAAAAUAGUACAAAAAAUCUGAACUAUGACUAAAUAAUAGAAGACGAAGGAACCUAAUUAAUUAAGAAACAAAGGCAACAUUCAAAAGAUAUUUCUAUUCCUCAAUUUUCCUAAGGUAAUGAAAAUAAAAGCAGAUAUAACAAACGUUCCUGGUGCUUAUACUAAAUCCGAAUACUGCUAUGCGCGAUUGUGUGUUACUGAAAAGUAGCAGAUAUCUCAUCAAAUUAAUUGAAUUACGAAUGUGGUGGCCAACAUAACACAUAUAGUAUCUGUAAUGUAAAUACAUAUACACACGAACAUUCCACAUGGUCUUUGGUUAACAAUUCAUAGAACCUUUGGCCAUACCCUCUUUGCCAAAAGUUAUAUUUUUACAUACAUAGACAAUAGUAUGAGGUAGUGCAUGUAUGGUCCUACGACUGAAAAACUACUAUUACAAGUGAUAUUGAAUAACUAGUGGAGAACAAUGGCAUGUGACUCCCUGACAAAAAUCAUAUGCAUGAAUAUAAUUGAUCUAGAAAUAGAAGCAUCUAUCUUAGUCAUUCACAUAUUUGGUGAAGUUGACGAUCAGCUGCUCCAAUCGCAGCAGAGAUUCUCCUUGCUCCUCUUCCCACUCUCCACAUGCUCAACACUAUUACUCCCAACUUUUCGUUUUACUUAAUCCCAUGUUAAAAAUAAUUAUUUUAAUUUAUUUAUUUAAAUUAUUUUGGAAAAUACCCUUCAUCUUAUUUAGCUUAAUUAUUUUUCUUUCAUAUUAAACCAUACAAAAGAAAUUGAAAGUUGCUAAUUUUUUUUAUUAACUUUAGUAGUUUCUUUUUUCUAAAAAUACAUGUUAAGAAAUUUAUGUUGAUAUUUCUUAAAUGUGUAUGAAGCUUUAACAUUUCAUGUUAAAUUACUUAUUUUUUCCUAAAUUCUAUAAAAUAUUGAUAAUCUCAUUCUUUGUUAAAAAAUUCAUGAUCAAAAAAUGUGAAAAAGAAUUACACUCAUUUUUCAUUUUUUUUAGUAUCAUUAAUAUUAGAACACUUAAAUUCUAUUUUUUAAAAAUUAAUUUUUUAAAUAUUUUUAUUUUUUUAUUUUUAAUAUUAAAUAACUGUAUAAAAUAAUAAUAAUUAAAUUUAAAUAUUAAAAACAUCAUUAAGUAGGUUAUAAUAAAUUUAAUUAAAUUUAUCUUUAAUUAAAUUUUUAUAAAGGGAUGUCAAAAAUAAGGGUCAAGUAAAAUAAAACGGUAGAAGUAUUACUAUUCAUUAUUUGCACAGCCAAGUUGUUAUUUAUGAGAUUGUUGUCCAUUUCCUUCUCUUCUAAUUUUGAUUCAGAAAUAUGCUGACUAUUAAUAAAUGUUCUUUGGAUGAUUCUGACUACUAUUCCGUCGGUAGCAAAAGAAAAAGAAAAUGUUAUCAAUUAUUAUGUUGUGUCAAAUAAAUCAUCUUAGUUACGAGAAAAUUAAGUGAGAGGUGAUAAAAAAAUUUUUAAAUUAAAACUAGUGAUUAUUUUGAUCAGCUAAGGUCAAAGUUUAAUUUAAAUUAUGAUUAAAUUAAUUGAGGUGUAAAGUAUAAUUUUUUUUUAAAUUUUUUUAAAAAGUACUCCAACUCAAAAUUUUAAAGUUUAAAGUUUCCUCCUUUUUUACUAUCUUUCAACCUUUCUUCUUUUUCUUUUUUUCCCAUCUUCUUCUUAUUUUUCUCUCUCUAUGAAUUUUCUUCUUUUUCCAUUUUCUCUUCUUUUUUUUUUCUCUUUACAUUUUGUUCUUCAUUUUUUAAUUUUCAUGAACUAUUUUUUAAAGAAAAUUGAAAAGAUUGAAAAGAAACUUUUUGAUUUCUUUUAAAAAUGAAUGAAUAAAUAAUUUAGCAAAUUUAGUAAUUACGAGAGUUGUUUCAACAACUACGGUAAUUGCUGCAAUAACUAAUAUUAGUUGUUGUGUUACAACAAUUAUUGAAGUUGCUGCAGCAACUAUCGAAGUUGCUGCAGCAACUUCAAUAAAUACUUAAUUUCUGAAAAAAUAUCUGAUUGGAGGAGGAGCCCAAGAAAAAGUGAUAUUUAUGAUCAAAAUAGAGGUGGUGGUGCUGGUGGUGACGCCGAAUGAGAAGAUGACCUUUGUUGUGGUGUUGAUAGCGAUGGUGGUAGAGGAGAAAGAAGAAAAAUAGGUGAUAGUUAUGUAGAGAGAGAAAAUAAUGGUGAAUCUGGAAAAGAUGGCAAUGGUAGUGAUAGUGAUAGUGGAGGAAGAGGAGGUAGCGGCGGCGGACGGCAAUAAAAAGGGUGUGGAGGAGGAGUGAUGGUGAUGUGCAGGAUCUUUGUGUAAAUAUGGGAUAGAGAUCUUUGUGUAAAUAAUAAAACUUAAGGGUUUUAAAAUUAGUAUCAUUAACACUAAUCUUAAAAUUGUCACCUCUACACAAUAUUUAAGACUUGUGUCACUCUUUUUUAAUUUUAAAACUUUUUUGUCACCCUUAAUUAAUUUGCCCUAGUUACGACCUAUCGAUUCUUUUAUGGUAAUAACUUAUUCAUAGGACCAUACAAGAUGUUUAUUAGACUAAGUAAAUGCACUUUAGUUAAGUGAUUUAAGAAGGUGAAAAUGCAUGUUAAUUAAUCAUAAUUAAAUGCUAAAAUUCUGUGUGGCUAUAUAUAUGUCAUGCAUCUAAAACUUAUUGUGACGGUAUAUAUCAUGUAUCUAUUGAUUGCAUAAUACGCUUCAAAUCAUGUGCUUUCGAUCAAGAUAUGAAAUGUCUCAGGCUUUUUCUAUAGUGUGCCACAAGGAGUCACAAAGAGUGUCUUUGUACUAGUAUUAUUCUCUUUUCGUACAGGAAAAACUUUUUGUUGUUUUGAUAUGAGAAUCGAGACUGGGUAAAAUCUCGUUAAAAUCUUGUGUUAUUUUUUUUUUAUAUUUAAUUAUGUGCUUAGUUAAUCACCAUUAUUCCUUGGCAUAUUUCUUAUGUAACUUUGUUAAAGAAAAUGUAAUAGAUCUUGCUAUGCACAGGCUGAAAUGGUUGAAAACUAUUACGUGUUUAGUUCAAUUGGUGUAAAUAAAAAAUGAAGGGAAAGUGUACUCACUUAAGGAAAGUAUACUUCUACCACAUUGGUGGGAGAAAACAACUUUCAUGUGUUUUAAUUAAGAAAUAUGUGUUUUUAUUGAAAAGCACAUCUUCAAGUGGAUAGUGAGGCAAGAACCAAGAGGUGCUUGCCGUCGUUGUCGCUCAGCUUUGGCUUCAAAUUUGAAAAAUGAUUGAUGAGAUUAAUUUUUUAGACAAAGUUUAUUUGAAACUUGAAAAAAUAAGUGGAAUUAUUAAUCCGAAAAAUCCAAAGAAAAAUGAAAAAUAUUUUUUUCCAUAAAACGUCAUGCAGAUGCAUGUAGAAACGCAGAAAAAUUCAUCAUUAAACUAGAAAUAAGUGCUUUUUAAAGUUGCUACAAACUUAUAAUUAGUAUCUUGAUAUACUAAAGUUAACUGUCUUUUUGUGAUAGGAAAGAUGACUACUGAUGGUCAAGUAAUUGAUGGUGUGACAAGAGUGACAGCAACAAAUGUUGCUACAACCAGUCGUACAAUUGUCCUGCCCGCUAUGGCACUAGCGGAAAAGUCCGAAAUUUUUUCUAGAAUAGAUUUUAAGCGGUGGCAAUAGAAGAUGUUCCUCUAUCUGACAAUCUUGUUCUUUAAAUAUUUAUAUCUGAAGAUGCUCCAGAAUUAUCCGAAGAAACUUUGAACUGUUUUGCGGAGAAAUUUUAACUUUUGAGAGUCGCCACUUAAUUUUGAAAAGGAAUUAAGAAACCUUUGAAAGUUACUUAAACGAUUCAAAACAAAAAAAAUCAUUUAAGUUUGAAGAUUCUGAGUAAGCGGUUUCUAUUAAUACUCUUGGAAGGUUGUUAAGGCACUAAAAGUAUCCGCUAGCUUGCGGUUAUUCAG